GAUGAACGCUGACAGAAUGCUUAACACAUGCAAGUCAACUUGAACUUCGGUUUGGGUGGCGGACGGGUGAGUAACGCGUAAAGAACUUGCCUCACAGAUAGGGACAACAUUUGGAAACGAAUGCUAAUACCUGAUAUUAUGAUUUUAGGGCAUCCUAGAAUUAUGAAAGCUAUAUGCGCUGUGAGAGAGCUUUGCGUCCCAUUAGCUAGUUGGAGAGGUAACGGCUCACCAAGGCGAUGAUGGGUAGCCGGCCUGAGAGGGUGAUCGGCCACAAGGGGACUGAGACACGGCCCUUACUCCUACGGGGGGCAGCAGUGGGGAAUAUUGGACAAUGGACCAAGAGUCUGAUCCAGCAAUUCUGUGUGCACGAUGAAGUUUUUCGGAAUGUAAAGUGCUUUCAGUUGGGAAGAAAAAAAUGACGGUACCAACAGAAGAAGUGACGGCUAAAUACGUGCCAGCAGCCGCGGUAAUACGUAUGUCACAAGCGUUAUCCGGAUUUAUUGGGCGUAAAGCGCGUCUAGGUGGUUAUAUAAGUCUGAUGUGAAUAUGCAGGGCUCAACUCUGUAUUGCGUUGGAAACUGUGUAACUAGAGUACUGGAGAGGUAAGCGGAACUACAAGUGUAGAGGUGAAAUUCGUAGAUAUUUGUAGGAAUGCCGAUGGGGAAGCCAGCUUACUGGACAGAUACUGACGCUGAAGCGCGAAAGCGUGGGUAGCAAACAGG
rnacentral:rRNA from 1 species